rnacentral:lncRNA from 1 species
UAUUUCCAGCUGUCGCGAAAAUUGAUGAAUUGGCAGGAUCAUUCUUCUCCAGCUGGCGCCAGAUGUCUCUGCAUUAAAUCAUCCGCCGCGUAACUGCCGCACCGUCGACGAAGGCACGUCAGUGCCUCACCGUUCCAACGGCUACUUUUCAUCUACAAAGAGGUCGUUGCCUCACCUUCCAACGGCUACAAUUUUUUUCUAUGGGUUUCUAUAUAAACGAUCCCACACAUCGAGCAAUUCAGAACUUCUUCGUCGUCUUUGUCGCCGAUGCUUUCUUCCACUUCUUCUCACUUUGAUGCUCAAGUAGGUCUUUGAGUUGGGGUAAAUUUCUGUUCUCUAUGCCUCUCUUUUCAAUUUUCGUUUUACUUUCCAAUCGUUUAGGGUUUUCGUUUUUCGAUCAUCUGUAAAACUCAUUUCUAGGCGCCGAGAGGAAACAUUAGAUCUUGUUUGUUGAUUCUCUUAUAGAUUUUAGGGUUACGGAACAUAGAUCUGAUUCCAUGAUUCAUGUUCGGUGUUUUAAUUGCAGAAAAUUAAGGAGAUGGCAGACUCUAAACCUGCGACUGGCGUUCAAAAUCGGUGGGGGGAACGAGAUGUUCAAGGUUUUUGCAGUUCUCGAACCAUGAUCUGUGAGUACGUAGCUAGCUUCCCUUAAACAGGGCAAGUUCAUUGAUAUCUUCCUAUUUCUUUGGUAAUUUGCCUCUGCCACUUGACAUUCUGGCCUGCUUUCUUGCUUACUCUUGGUUAUCUUUGUUCUUAUUGUUUGCAUCAUGUUGUUAUCAUGCCAUAAACUGGUUCAAACUGCUUUGAAUUAUCAUGGCGACUGUGAUGUUAUGUGUUGUUUGCUAGCAUGGCAAUCUCCAUUUAUCUUUUCUUAAGUGCACUUUGAGAUUCUUAUAUAUCGUUCUUAUGGAUUUAGAUCUUGUCAGUGUGAGUAGUGGUAUCAUUUUAUUUUUCCGUUUAAAUUCCUUUGAGGCGCUAUGAAGUUCUAGUAGAUGAGGAAUUCUAACGCAUGUGCCACCAAAAAAGUCUUGAAGGUUUAGGUGGUUAUGGCUCACACACGCGGCGGCAACUCGGUUUCCACCUGUUUGCAGGUUUUUUUUACCGAGUUUGCCCCGUGUGGGUUGGGUCAUAACCAUGCCUUCAUUGAGGAAAAAAAGAGAGGGGGUGGUGCGUAAAAGAAGUGUUAGGGUGUUCAUCACCUAAGUGAAGUGAUGAGUUUGUGCGCUCUAACACAAGCACAAAGAAGGUGAGAAUCAGUGAACACCCCUCCAUGCAAGUGGGAAAAAUACUCAGACCAGAAUUCCCUUAUUGUUUACUACUUCCGCUUGUGUCACGAAGGUAAGAUAAUGGAAACGAAAUGAUAUUCUCCACUGGCAAGGUUUAUUUUCAUUAGCACGAUAUGUGUGAAUGUCACUUGUAGUUCUUUACGGGACAUUGGUUUUUUAUUGUGUGGUCAGGCUUGACACAUGCCAUAAACUGGUUCAAACUGCUUUGAAUUAUCAUGGCGACUGUGAUGUUGUGUGUUGUUUGCUAGCAUGACAAUCUCCAUUUAUCUUUCCUUCAGUGCACUUUGAGAUUCUUAUAUAUCGUUCUUAUGGAUUUAGAUCUUGCCAAUGUGAGUAGUAGUAUCAUUUUAUUUCUCCGUUUAAACUCCUUUGAGGCGCUAUGAAGUUCUAGUAGAUGGGGAAUUCUAACGCAUGUACCAUCAAAAAAGUCUUGAAGGUUUAGGUGGUUAUGGCUCACACACGUGGUGGCGACCCGGUUUCCACCUGUUUGCAGGUUUUUUUUAUCGAGUUUGCCCCGUGUGGGUUGGGUCAUAACCAUGCCUUCAUUGAGGGAAAAAAAGAGGGGGUGGUGCGUAAAAGAAGUGUUAGGGUGUUCAUCACCUAAGUGAAGUGAUGAGUUUGUGCACUCUAACACAAGCACAAAGAAGGUGAGAAUCAGUGAACACCCCUCCAUGCAAGUGGGAAAAAUACUCAGACCAGAAUUCCCUUAUUGUUUACUACUUCCGCUUGUGUCACGGUCAUUGGACCCUUGCGGUCCCAUUUGAUAUAUCUUUGAGCGUUUUUGGUGAGUUUCUAGGUCAUGUUCAAUCAUCACCUCGUGGUCUCAUUGCUAAGGUUGGUUUUUGACUAGUUUUAAUUUGAUUUUCACCAGCUCUCAUAAUUUCUUUUACUAUGCAAUAAUUGACCUUCUCCUUUGUACUUGUAGAGUUUAACUGCUUUUGACUCUUCAUUUGACAUGUGCUGCUACAAGCCUUUUGGUGUGAAGGUGGAUUGGAGCUUGGUUGGGAAAGCUUCUCCAUAUGUUUGUCCUCUUCAUUUCGCUACUUCUUCCUUUAUGUUGUUGUGGUUCUAGGAUGUUUGCCCAUCUAUUGGUUUUUGGGUUCAGGGUUUAAUGUCUGGGGUUAGGGGUCUAGCGUCUAGGGUGAACAUUCAGGUAUAAAAAUAAAGGAUUAGUACAGAAAGGCAGAAACCAUGGAUCUGAUCAAAAGGUAUGAUAAACUAGAACAUCUGUAUUUAUCCUUCAUUGUGCUUCAUAUAACAUGAAGAUGGUGGAUAAUCCCAAGUUUCAUUGCAUUUGCAGGGCUAAGGUGAACAUUCAGGUAUAAGAACAAAGGAUCAAUGCAGAAAGGCAGAAACAAUGGAUCUGAUUAGAAG